AUAUUAGAAUGUCGUAAUCCAGUCGUCAUUUCUACAGUAUAUACUUUAUAAAUUUCCUAAUAAUAGAUCAUUAAUUACUAAUAUAGUAUAAUACAUUAUCAAAACAGAACAACAAAAUUUAUUCCUCAAACUCACACUUACUAAAAGAAAGAAGAUAAUUACAAACAUUUAUAAGAAUUCAAACCCUGAAGUAUAUAUCAGAAAUUCACAGAGCAUUACCACAGAAGGGGCAGAAUCGGAAUUCGCCAUCCACUUCCCGGCGAGUUAGGUUCAGCAACUGAACUUCCGGGACAUCGGCCAUGGACGACGGUGGUCGCGACGGAGGAGUUAGAGAUUGAGCAGAAUUGACACCUGAGAACUUCCGGAACAUCGGCCAUGGACGACGGUGGUCGCGACGGAGGAGUUAGAGAAUGAGGGAAGAAAAGAUUGCAGUCGUUGCAGUACAUCACCGGCUCUUUCCCCGGCCAUCUCCAAACCGG
rnacentral:lncRNA from 1 species